AUCGGCCUUGCCUGAGCGCGACCCUUAUUUGGCAAUGCAGGCCAUUCCUCUGCCCCAGAGCUGAAAAAUGGUUUUACUCUUUUUGGAAGUCAGAGCUUUCAUAUCUCUUCGUCUACGGGCUUUUCUGUCCUAUAAAGCAGCAAGCAAGCCGUAUCUGCUGUUAUUCRGUUGUGGUGAUCAAUAAAGACUACAAUGCAUAUGGAAGCCUGUAAUGCUCUAGUGAGACACAGAAAAGUAAAAUCCGGAUAUAAUUCCUGAAAGAUUGGUAAGGAAUCAGUGCAAGUAAACUACCUCACAGGCACACUCUGCCCCAGCCCUGGGAAAUGGCGAAGCAGCGCUGAGCGUGCGUGUUCAAAACCUUCUCACUUUCAUCAAAAAUCAUCUGAC
rnacentral:lncRNA from 1 species